AGCUCAGCACUUGGCAGCACAAACACUGCAGCAGCACAAAGGCAGGGAUGGGAAGGAUGCAGACUUGAUUUACCACUCUUACUAAUCUUCCAAGUCAAUGACUCUAAAGAAGCACAACACGUCGACUUUGGGAUGGUGUGCUGCUGUGGAAAGCUUACUCAUGUUCAUCACUGGAUAUUCUGCUGACCCAAGUACAGUGGACAGAAAAUGGAAAGAACUCCCAUAAAAUGUUGAGAUUGUCUGAAGAAAUCAACCCUUCUAAGAAGAUGCUCUUCAUGCAGUAUGAUCAAGAAGAAAUUUUCUUUUAUUUUCACUGCUUUAUCUUGAAUUUCCAUUAUCUGAUUUGGCAUGGCUGCAGGCUCGAAGGCUAUGAAUUCUUUGAUACAUAAAAACUACAUUACAUUACAAACAUAUUGGGAAGGGUGAAGGCUGGCCAUUCACAAAGACCCAGGAAAAUGUUACUUUCAGAAAUUGUUUAAAUCUACUAAAGCACAAUUUUUAUAAAAAUAUCAUGUUUUUAUACAGGAAAGAUUUAAAAUGCAGAAGUGUUUUUGUCUUAGAAAAUAAGAAGCUAACUAAUUAAAUCAGUUUUGUUCCCCAUGCUUUGGUGUUUGUGCCUAGAUCUCUUCCUUGUGUUUAGAAAAAACUGUCCAUGAAACAGUCAUUUACAGUCCCAGAGGUAUGGAUUUUUUUUUUUUUUUUCUUGUUGAGGAAUGUGACAUUCUUUGCAAAGUAGAAACAAAUGGUGCAGAUUCAUCUGCUUAAUAAGGACUGCUCAAUGAAGGGAGUCUGAGAAUGUUGCAAAUGCCCGUGCAUUUUAGAAAUAUAUUUUUAGAGCAAGCUGAGAGGUGCUUGAUGUGUUUUGUUGUGAGAUAUUGGUAGUGUGAUGGUAUCAUGAUGUGGUCUAGGUUAAUUCUAAACUUGGAAUUCUUUUGGUUUGUUUUCCGCAUUCAUUUUCUUCCUUCCUCAGCGAAGCUAUUUCCUUCCAAAUGGUGUUUAAAUUGGUAUAGACUAGCCAGAGCACAGUCUGGGCUGGUUAUCAGCAGGCCUCACAACUGGAACGAGUGUCUCUAGAUUUCCUUAUCCACCCCCCAGCAGUUACUGUCAUCAAAGCAACUGAUCCUAGGACACAGAUGAAUAGUUGCUCUUAGAAUAGAAAUCUGCAGCAAGGUCAAUGGUGUUCAAAACAAUCUGACCAACAGCAGGAAAUUCCCUCCAAGAUUGCUAAAUCUUGUUUACAAGAGAUGUCUUUCUGCAGGAUAUACCCGACCCAACACUCUGCUAAGAAUGUCAUGUGACAUAGCACAUUUUCAUGGGGAGUCUCAGAAAGCAGAUAGGAUGAAGUCCUGGCAAAAUUCCCACUUCCUUCAAUGCAACAGGGUUUCACACAAACUUUCAUUAGAGAAAGGGAAAAAAAAAAUCAGUAUUGAAAAUCAGUCCUGUCAGGUGUUGUCAAGGCUGGCAGAUGUACAGGAGCAGAAGUUGGCUUACAGAGCUUCCUUUCAUGAGAAUGGGUUGUAGUUAAACCAUACUGGACAGACAGAUAUAAAAUAAUCCUGAACGAAACUAUCUGGGAAUAAUAUUCCCUGGAGAAGUGUGGGUUAGAGUGAGUGAGGGCUAGAGCACUGGAACAGCCACAUGCUUUCGUAGGAAGGCCAGCACAAUAGUUAAUCACUUGUUUCUUGUUGGAAAGAAAUUACUUAUUCACAAGUUAUGAGAUCAAGAAACCUGGAGGACAUCUCUGUUAAAAACCUUCUAGAAAUAAUUGUGUUUCAGAAAAUCAUUAUUUGGUCAUGACUAUUUUGCAAAUAAAAACAAAGGCAAAAAUCA